rnacentral:rRNA from 1 species
UACAGAGGGUGCGAGCGUUGUUCGGAAUUACUGGGCGUAAAGCGCGCGCAGGCGGCCUUUUAAGUCUGACGGUGAAAUGCCGGGGCUCAACCCCGUGCCCGCCGGAGAUACUGGGAGGCUGGAGACGAGUAGAGGCAAGCGGAAUUCCGGGUGUAGCGGUGGAAUGCGUAGAGAUCCGGAAGAACACCGGAGGCGAAGGCGGCUUGCUGGGCUCGGUCUGACGCUGAGACGCGAAAGCGUGGGGAGCGAACCGG